rnacentral:rRNA from 1 species
UACGUAGGGAGCAAGCGUUGUCCGGAAUCAUUGGGCGUAAAGAGCGUGUAGGCGGCCAGGUAGGUCGGUUGUGAAAACUGGAGGCUCAACCUUCAGAGGUCGACCGAAACCAUCUGGCUAGAGUCCGGGAGAGGAGAGUGGAAUUCCUGGUGUAGCGGUGAAAUGCGCAGAUAUCAGGAAGAACACCCGUGGCGAAAGCGGCUCUCUGGAACGGUACUGACGCUGAGACGCGAAAGCGUGGGGAGCGAACGGG